UAGUUAUCGAAUUUCUGGCGAUAAGUUCUACGAGCUUGAUAGAACGCGAUGUAAUUUCUUGGAUAACCAUUGGCAAGAUUCAAGAUCAUUGCCGACGCUCAAUGAUCUUGCUACUUCCUCUCUUUAUCCUACUCAUUGUCCACGAAGUUAAAGUGAUCGUCUAUCCUUCCUUUCUCUCUCUCUCUCUCUCUCUCUCUCACUCCUUUAUCUCUGAUCCUACUCUUUCUUACUUCUAAGUGUUCUAUCGAAACUAAACAACUCGUGACCCGGCAGUUGACUUUCCACCUAAUGUAAAAGUAACGAUUUCUAUGACCGAUCAUCAUCAGCAUCAUCAUUAUCAUUAUCAUCAUCAUCAUCAUCAUCGUAAAGGAUCAUCGCUAUUCCACGCUGUCUCAUUCCCGUAACUCGGCGAAUAAAUCGUUAAAAGUUAUUGUGCAAUCGUUAUGGCAUUUCUGGCCGACUCCUCUCUUUGUGCUCUGCCCUUCUUUUCUUUCCGGUCCGUGACGAAAGCGAAAGGAAUUCAUCUUAGAAGAUCCACGCCCAGUGAGCCAAGCUGUCAGCAAUACCUCGACUCUUCUCUUUGGUUCUACGUGCCAGGAUUUGAGCAUCGUGAUAAUUGGAGCUUCAAAAGGUCACCUGUAUCGACAUAUUGUGCAUCUAAAUGAUUAAUCGAUGGAUAAUUCUACUUAACUCCUUCAUUACCCCGCCAAUUUGUCAUAAAACUGACACGAUCGUAUCUUGACCAUCCAUCAUUUUCGCAACAAUUAAUGUAAAUAAAAAAAAAAAAAAAAAAAAAAAAAAAGAAA